AUUCAACUGGCCAAGUAGGUCAGCAGACAGUGCUCUGAAAGGUCAGAACAAUCUGUUCGUGGAUCAUCUUCUCCAGCACUGGUCCAGUGACUUUCAUUUUAAUUCAUGAACAUUACCCGUUAUAUCAAGCCUGAGCUAUCUAAGCUAAAAGAGCCCCAUGCUGCCAGAAAUAAGACUCACCCAGAGCAACUUCCGCUCCUGCAAGCUCCAUUCAUGCUCAGCCCCCAAGUAUUUGGGCCACCAAAAGGCUAAAAUUUCGAUGUUAUCAGAAUUUUCAUUACUUUCAGCUUUAAUUAGACUCAUGUUAACUUUCUUUUACAUUUCUUGGACACUUGUUCUGUAAUUUCUUUUUAGUAAUAACCUACAAAUAAAUACCGCAAGAUCGUGAGAUCUCA
rnacentral:lncRNA from 13 species